CAAACAUUGAAAGGAGGUGGUCCAGUGUCUAAUUCCAAGCGCUGUCACCUCGCUGAGGCCGCCCGCUAGGCUCACUCUUUGAGCUUCGCAAAGGGCGCCUCGGCGCCUGGUUCAGCGAGAACAGGGAAGGGCGCGCCGAGCGAUCGGUGCGCCCU
rnacentral:sRNA from 1 species